rnacentral:lncRNA from 1 species
UAUAGCCAAUCUAAUUAAAAACCGAUCUCUCAUCGCUCCUGUUUCUGAUAUGUCGCGUGGGAGAUCUAACGAAACCCGCUUUGAGGUCACAUGUGAGUGACCUCGUAGGUGUGUCUUUUUCGACCAAUGGAAUUGAGUCUUCCACGAUCUUGGAAGUUUAACGUAAGGCAAAGGGAUGUAACUCAUUUUAUUUACGACGAAAUCGUCAGUCAAAUAAUUCAUAAACUUUUUUGAUUGGCUUAUUAAUAGGUCGUCAACUCAUUUGCAUAUCUUUAUAAAUUCAUAACUUUUAGUUCACUCACAUGUGACCUCAAAGCCGGUUUCGUUAGAUCUCCCACGCGACAUAUCAGAAACAGGAGCGAUGAGAUAUCGGUUUUUAAUUAGAUUGGGGU